UUAAGUUAUUAAGGGCGCACGGUGGAUGCCUUGGCACUAGAAGCCGAUGAAGGACGUUACUAACGACGAUAUGCUUUGGGGAGCUGUAAGUAAGCUUUGAUCCAGAGAUUUCCGAAUGGGGAAACCCAGCAUGAGUUAUGUCAUGUUAUCGAUAUGUGAAUACAUAGCAUAUCAGAAGGCACACCCGGAGAACUGAAACAUCUUAGUACCCGGAGGAAGAGAAAGAAAAUUCGAUUCCCUUAGUAGCGGCGAGCGAAACGGGAAGAGCCCAAACCAAAAAGCUUGCUUGUUGGGGUUGUAGGACACUCUAUACGGAGUUACAAAGGACGACAUUAGACGAAUCAUCUGGAAAGAUGAAUCAAAGAAGGUAAUAAUCCUGUAGUCGAAAAUGUUGUCUCUCUUGAGUGGAUCCUGAGUACGACGGAGCACGUGAAAUUCCGUCGGAAUCUGGGAGGACCAUCUCCUAAGGCUAAAUACUCUCUAGUGACCGAUAGUGAACCAGUACCGUGAGGGAAAGGUGAAAAGCACCCCGGAAGGGGAGUGAAAUAGAACCUGAAACCGUGUGCUUACAAGUAGUCAGAGCCCGUUAAUGGGUGAUGGCGUGCCUUUUGUAGAAUGAACCGGCGAGUUACGAUUUGAUGCAAGGUUAAGCAGUAAAUGUGGAGCCGUAGCGAAAGCGAGUCUGAAUAGGGCGUUUAGUAUUUGGUCGUAGACCCGAAACCAGGUGAUCUACCCUUGGUCAGGUUGAAGUUCAGGUAACACUGAAUGGAGGACCGAACCGACUUACGUUGAAAAGUGAGCGGAUGAACUGAGGGUAGCGGAGAAAUUCCAAUCGAACCUGGAGAUAGCUGGUUCUCUCCGAAAUAGCUUUAGGGCUAGCCUCAAGUGAUGAUUAUUGGAGGUAGAGCACUGUUUGGACGAGGGGCCCCUCUCGGGUUACCGAAUUCAGACAAACUCCGAAUGCCAAUUAAUUUAACUUGGGAGUCAGAACAUGGGUGAUAAGGUCCGUGUUCGAAAGGGAAACAGCCCAGACCACCAGCUAAGGUCCCAAAAUAUAUGUUAAGUGGAAAAGGAUGUGGCGUUGCCCAGACAACUAGGAUGUUGGCUUAGAAGCAGCCAUCAUUUAAAGAGUGCGUAAUAGCUCACUAGUCGAGUGACACUGCGCCGAAAAUGUACCGGGGCUAAACAUAUUACCGAAGCUGUGGAUUGUCCUUUGGACAAUGGUAGGAGAGCGUUCUAAGGGCGUUGAAGCAUGAUCGUAAGGACAUGUGGAGCGCUUAGAAGUGAGAAUGCCGGUGUGAGUAGCGAAAGACGGGUGAGAAUCCCGUCCACCGAUUGACUAAGGUUUCCAGAGGAAGGCUCGUCCGCUCUGGGUUAGUCGGGUCCUAAGCUGAGGCCGACAGGCGUAGGCGAUGGAUAACAGGUUGAUAUUCCUGUACCACCUAUAAUCGUUUUAAUCGAUGGGGGGACGCAGUAGGAUAGGCGAAGCGUGCGAUUGGAUUGCACGUCUAAGCAGUAAGGCUGAGUAUUAGGCAAAUCCGGUACUCGUUAAGGCUGAGCUGUGAUGGGGAGAAGACAUUGAGUCUUCGAGUCGUUGAUUUCACACUGCCGAGAAAAGCCUCUAGAUAGAAAAUAGGUGCCCGUACCGCAAACCGACACAGGUAGUCAAGAUGAGAAUUCUAAGGUGAGCGAGCGAACUCUCGUUAAGGAACUCGGCAAAAUGACCCCGUAACUUCGGGAGAAGGGGUGCUCUUUAGGGUUAACGCCCAGAAGAGCCGCAGUGAAUAGGCCCAAGCGACUGUUUAUCAAAAACACAGGUCUCUGCUAAACCGUAAGGUGAUGUAUAGGGGCUGACGCCUGCCCGGUGCUGGAAGGUUAAGAGGAGUGGUUAGCUUCUGCGAAGCUACGAAUCGAAGCCCCAGUAAACGGCGGCCGUAACUAUAACGGUCCUAAGGUAGCGAAAUUCCUUGUCGGGUAAGUUCCGACCCGCACGAAAGGCGUAACGAUUUGGGCACUGUCUCAACGAGAGACUCGGUGAAAUCAUAGUACCUGUGAAGAUGCAGGUUACCCGCGACAGGACGGAAAGACCCCGUGGAGCUUUACUGUAGCCUGAUAUUGAAAUUCGGCACAGCUUGUACAGGAUAGGUAGGAGCCUUUGAAACGUGAGCGCUAGCUUACGUGGAGGCGCUGGUGGGAUACUACCCUAGCUGUGUUGGCUUUCUAACCCGCACCACUUAUCGUGGUGGGAGACAGUGUCAGGCGGGCAGUUUGACUGGGGCGGUCGCCUCCUAAAAGGUAACGGAGGCGCUCAAAGGUUCCCUCAGAAUGGUUGGAAAUCAUUCAUAGAGUGUAAA
rnacentral:rRNA from 1 species